AUUUUCGAAUUGCUACCUCCGAUCGCUACGUAAAUAACAACCGCUGAGGCGCUGACCAUAUGGAGCGCUAGAGAGGAAACAAAUAAGGAAUUCUAUUGUCUCCAUUUCUUGCAGUUCCAGAACAGAGUUACUCUUUCCGGCUUUUGGUUGUAGGGCCUAUUGUGUUUAUAAAUCAGCGACGUCCAACUUACAAGAGAGCAUCUAAAGAAAUCACAUGUACGUGCGAAUUUGUCUUCACAAAGACCUUCGGAGUCAGAUUUAGGAUGUGCCUGUGAGGUGGAAUUCUACUCUGUUACAACGAAUAGUUGAAGUGAAAGAUGCAGUGAAGACUAACACUAAGCGCUGUGAAUUUCGAACAACUGACAGAGGAUGAGUGGAACAUCUGUUCGGAACGCUGUUCUGUGUUGAAACUAGUUGAGCAGGUUUCAACACAACUUAGUGCAGAGUCCUAUCCUGCUGGCAGCCAAGUUAUUGUUCUGACAAGGGGAUUGUCACCAGUGUGUGCUGAACUUUUGAAGAGGCCACGUGUGUUUCUGUUGUCGAAGAGUUAACAAAAGACCUGAAGGACCAUUUCUGCAAAGUAGAGAUACGAAAGUCUACAGCAGUAGCUACUCUACUUGAUCCACAUUUCAAAACUUGUCUGUAAACUGAGUAGCAGCAAAAAACACAAAUAAGCUGCUUGUUGACUGGCUAACUCAAAAGCUGGGUGACAGAAGACCGACAAACACCAGCCAGAGCCACGAAACUGUCAGCGUUGACUAGCGCUGAUCCCUUGUCAGUAUGGGGUGUUUAUGAUGCAACAUUCCCGGGGUACUCCUCAGUCAGCUGCUGUUGUGGAAGUGCAAAGAUAUCUGGACAAGUAAUUAGCAGAAGUGAGGAUCCACUUGCAUGGUAGGUUUAUGGCAUCACAAGUCAGUCACUAGCAGCGUGAUGUCGCACAGUUGACAGUUGUUGUGUGGGAAACUUGAAGAAUAAGGUGGUAGUCCUUUGGAUACAUUUCACCACUUAAAAUGGAGAUAGUGUGUAUAUUGGCAGAUGGUAACUCAAGCUCUUUGUUCUCGUUAUGGCUCCAAAAGUCCUUCACCAGCAGCAGAUGUCACACAGUCAUAAAGAGGAACUUUAAGAAACAGAUAACUAGUCGUAUGUGCAGCAGUCUGUGAAGCAGUCUGACAGUGUGCAGAAGUUCUGUGACUGAAGUGUUCAGCGGUAGUGGUGUGUUUGUAUGUAGUGAUAAAGAAAAAUGUUGCAGUGUAUUUGCAUAUGUAAGUGUGUGUAUAUUUCAUCAUUGUUUGCCAGUUGCAAGAUCUGUUUUCGUGGAAAUCAAAUAACAUUGUACAGUAGGGGCUAACUGAUUGAGGCGGUGCAGCUGUUAAUGGCACUGACCUCGUAUGCAGGAGGAUGGUGUUCACUCUGUCCAGCCAUCCUGAUUUAGGCUUUCCGUGGUUUUCCUGGACAUUAAGGCAAAUGGCUGGGAUGGUUCCUUCAGCAAGGCCAUGGCCGACCACCUCUCUCAUUCUUAUAGAGAUCCUUAAACACUCUCUCCCUCUGUGUGUGUGUGUGUGUGUGUGUGUGUGUGUGUGUGUGUGUGUGUGUGUGUGUGUGUGUGUGUGUCACAUGCUGAAUUACAGAGCAAAUACUUUGUUGGCCCCACUGAAUAGGCCAUGGCCAAGUACCUGCCCCAUCCUUGUCCAGAGUGUUUGUACUCAGCAUCUUAACUCUGUUUAUUUAUUCUCUUUAUAAUAGCAUAAUAUGUUUUAAACCCUCCAUAUCGUUGUGGAAAACAGUAGAAAUA